rnacentral:rRNA from 1 species
GACGAACGCUGGCGGCGUGCCUAAUACAUGCAAGUAGAACGCUGAAGAGAGGAGCUUGCUCUUCUUGAAUGAGUUGCGAACGGGUGAGUAACGCGUAGGUAACCUGCCUUGUAGCGGGGGAUAACUAUUGGAAACGAUAGCUAAUACCGCAUAACAAUGGGUGACACAUGUCAUUUAUUUGAAAGGGGCAAUUGCUCCACUACAAGAUGGACCUGCGUUGUAUUAGCUAGUAGGUGAGGUAACGGCUCACCUAGGCGACGAUACAUAGCCGACCUGAGAGGGUGAUCGGCCACACUGGGACUGAGACACGGCCCAGACUCCUACGGGAGGCAGCAGUAGGGAAUCUUCGGCAAUGGGGGCAACCCUGACCGAGCAACGCCGCGUGAGUGAAGAAGGUUUUCGGAUCGUAAAGCUCUGUUGUAAGUCAAGAACGAGUGUGAGAGUGGAAAGUUCACACUGUGACGGUAGCUUACCAGAAAGG